GUGGGCGUAGCUCAGUUGGUUAGAGCGUCGGGUUGUGGCCCCGGAGGCCGAGGGUUCAAGUCCCUCCGCUCACCCCA
rnacentral:tRNA from 1 species